rnacentral:lncRNA from 1 species
UACUCUGUUUACCCUAGUGAAUCAGAUUUAGAGAAUUUCUGGGCUGAAGACAGAGCUAAUGAAGCGGCAAAGCCGUCUGGGUCUUUUUAGACAGAUCAACAACUACCCAUUCUAAGGAAAUGCCUUGGUUAACCACCCAAGUCAAACCCCAUGCCUAAUUGUUGGAGGAAAGGAUGAAGAUAUGUGCCAACAAUUAAAGACAUUGAAAUGUACCAUUCAUAUCAGGGAUCCCCUUCAGAGCUACACCUUGUUGACCAGUUUAUGUUAGAGAUGUGUAAAAUUCCUCAUUUAGGCCAAAGGUUGGAGCUCUUGCUUAUGAUAAGAGAACUUCCAGGGUACGUGAAAGAUCUUCAGCCUCUAUUAAACCAGAAAAUCCAAGCAUGCCAACAGCUGAAAGGCAGCCAGAUGUUUGUGGCUGUAUUAGAGUAUCUCUUAGCCAUCGGUAACUACUUAAAUAAGAAAGGCUGGGAAAGAGAAAGCCAGAGGAUUUCGAUUAUCUUCUCUUUCUAA